UACGGGGGGAGCAAGCGUUGUUCGGAUUUACUGGGCGUAAAGGGCGCGUAGGCGGUCGUGACAAGUCACUUGUGAAAUCUCCGGGCUUAACUCGGAACGGUCAAGUGAUACUGUCGGACUAGAGUACAGAAGGGGCAACUGGAAUUCUCGGUGUAGCGGUGAAAUGCGUAGAUAUCAAGAGGAACACCUGAGGCGAAGGCGGGUUGCUAGGCUGACACUGACGCUGAAGCGCGAAAGCCAGGGGAGCAAACGGG
rnacentral:rRNA from 1 species